rnacentral:rRNA from 1 species
AGAGUUUGAUCAUGGCUCAGGACGAACGCUGGCGGCGUGCCUAAUACAUGCAAGUCGAACGCACUCUCGUUAGAUUGAAGAAGCUUGCUUCCGAUUGAUAACAUUUGAAUGAGUGGCGGACGGGUGAGUAACACGUGGGUAACCUGCCCUAAAGUGGGGGAUAACAUUUGGAAACAGAUGCUAAUACCGCAUAAAACCUAGCACCGCAUGGUGCAAGGUUGAAAGAUGGUUUCGGCUAUCACUUUAGGAUGGACCCGCGGUGCAUUAGUUAGUUGGUGAGGUAAAGGCUCACCAAGACCGUGAUGCAUAGCCGACCUGAGAGGGUAAUCGGCCACACUGGGACUGAGACACGGCCCAGACUCCUACGGGAGGCAGCAGUAGGGAAUCUUCCACAAUGGACGAAAGUCUGAUGGAGCAACGCCGCGUGAGUGAAGAAGGUUUUCGGAUCGUAAAACUCUGUUGUUGGAGAAGAACGUAUUUGAUAGUAACUGAUCAGGUAGUGACGGUAUCCAACCAGAAAGCCACGGCUAACUACGUGCCAGCAGCCGCGGUAAUACGUAGGUGGCAAGCGUUGUCCGGAUUUAUUGGGCGUAAAGCGAGCGCAGGCGGUUUCUUAAGUCUGAUGUGAAAGCCUUCGGCUCAACCGAAGAAGUGCAUCGGAAACUGGGGAACUUGAGUGCAGAAGAGGACAGUGGAACUCCAUGUGUAGCGGUGAAAUGCGUAGAUAUAUGGAAGAACACCAGUGGCGAAGGCGGCUGUCUGGUCUGUAACUGACGCUGAGGCUCGAAAGCAUGGGUAGCAAACAGGAUUAGAUACCCUGGUAGUCCAUGCCGUAAACGAUGAGUGCUAGGUGUUGGAGGGUUUCCACCCUUCAGUGCCGCAGCUAACGCAUUAAGCACUCCGCCUGGGGAGUACGACCGCAAGGUUGAAACUCAAAGGAAUUGACGGGGGCCCGCACAAGCGGUGGAGCAUGUGGUUUAAUUCGAAGCAACGCGAAGAACCUUACCAGGUCUUGACAUCCUUUGACCACUCUAGAGAUAGAGCUUUCCCUUCGGGGACAAAGUGACAGGUGGUGCAUGGUUGUCGUCAGCUCGUGUCGUGAGAUGUUGGGUUAAGUCCCGCAACGAGCGCAACCCUUAUUACUAGUUGCCAGCAUUUAGUUGGGCACUCUAGUGAGACUGCCGGUGACAAACCGGAGGAAGGUGGGGACGACGUC